GUAGAGAAGAAGCCAAGGACCUAUUUGCUUGUGAUUUAACUUACCGAUUGCCAUCUCUGGUCUUUCCCUGGCCCAUGUUUGGAAACCAUCCAGCCUUAGGGAAUUAUAAAGUAAGCCCUGUCACAAGCUCAGCCCCAAGCAGGAGUAUGCCCCUCACACCAGUGGGCUAACCUGUUUAAAACAUUGGCAAUGACGGAUUAUUUUCAGGGUUGUCUGACUGAGACUCUCAUCAUUGAAAAAUGCUUUCUUUCUGGCACUGCACUUGCCUGUCCUCCUACACGAUGAAGCAAAUGUCUCCAUGACAGAUGGGCCAUGCUGCAGCCCUUAGGAGUCAGAAACCUGGAGGCUUAUUACACCAGAGGGAAAAUGCUCUCAAGAGACCUCCAUGGAAGUCUGCCUUUCUCUCAUGCCAAAUAGCCAUUAUAGGGUCUAACCUGACUGGCAGCUCCCUGUGCAUGGAGAUGGAGAUGCUCCUUACAGUCUGGGGUAGUGCUUGUCAACAUUCUAUUAGGUCCUUAGAGCUGCUAAUUACUGUAAAAGAGCAUAUGAAAAUUUUGUGCUGGGACAUGGGUAGGCAAGACGAGUCUGUUCAUGCCAUGUUAUCAUGAGGUAAAAAGAAGGCUGCCUCUAUUGGAAAUACAAUUCUGUCUGAACGUAUUGAAAGGAGUGUUGGGCCUGGAGCCUGAUCUCUCAGAGACACCCCAGUCUGGGGAAUGACUGCAUUUGAUUGUGGUCUAGUGACUUUCCUGCUAAAGAAAAAACAAUGCUGCCCAGGACCUAGUUUCUUCCAGCCACACUUCCUUUCUCACUUGUUUUCAUUAUUUAGAGCUAUGGUCACUUCCAAACAGAAUGGUUGAAAAACAGUGGUAAACAUUUAUUUUACUCAGCUCUAUAACUGUACUCCAGUGUUUCUUUGCCACACAUGUCAGUAGGGGAAGAGGAUCAAACUAAGGUUAAUGGUUCACUUCUAAAUUGGCUUAUCCCCGUGGGAGCUGUGCCUCCAAUGAAGUGCCCGUCUUCACUUGAGAUUCCUUAUGACUUAGACUUGCCUCCUCACAGCAGGAUGACUCUUUCCAAAGACCAGCAUCCCAUGAAGAAAAUAUGGGCAGAAGCUAUCCUGAUUUCUGUGACCUAGCCUAGACAUAGCAGGUCACAUCUGUUAUUUUACUGUUUUCUGCAACAGUUAUAGAGGGCUGUCUGUGUUCAGGGUGGAAACUCUACAAUUCGUACAGGAUAGCUAUGGGCGACAAAGCUCGUCAAGGUUACAUAGGAAAAGAAAUACUGUGAUGUACAAUAUGAAAUUUGGUAUCAUUCUGUCACUGUUCAAGGUAUAUUCUCUAGUAGGGCUCGAUGGUGAUGUUGCUAUGGUGUUCUUCUCUUAGGUAUCCAUGUAGUUCCCACUGUCACCUCUUUUACAUCUCCACCAACAUAUUUUCUUCUCGAUAUACAGAGCUAACCACUGUGAACGUUCAGUACUCUGACCACAACGCUUCUGAUUAGACCCAGGAAUUGUAUAGAGAGAAAGGAGGAAAUCAUGGGUCAAACCCAGGAGACAAGAUGUCACUCCGACAACGAACCUGUAGGUGUUUGCUUGCUGUUCUUCCUCACUGCCCAUCAUCUGAAAUGUCUGACCUGUUAGUCAAUUGGAAGGUUGCCGUUUCCCAAUAGGGAUCAAUGCUCACAGGUGACAUAACAGGUGGCUUAGAAUAUGGAACAAAACUGGAAAAAAAUAACUAUUAUUGCCUCAACUAUUGUCUUCCAACUGAUUGGGCAAUUUCGCUAUCCUGGGGGAAUGACCUUUCUCAUUUGAGCAUUGUUCAUGAAACAGACAGUUACUGUUUUUGCUUGUUAGCACAUUCUGCAGAAGUGUCUGGAAGAAAGUAGUGACAUUUUAAAAUGGAUUAAUCAAGGAGGCUUUAAAUUGGAUGCGUUCUUGAAUUUCAUCUAAAUGUUACUUGCUGUAGAUUACAAGUUGGUAUCAGGCUGGCAUGCCCUGGACCCCAUUAUCACACGUAAAAUUCCAGAAAUUCACAAAGAAUCUGUGCUAAGAUGAUCUUAAAGGACAUUCCUCGGCAUGAAGUGAUUAAUAACAUUAUUUUCAGCUAAAGCAGGAAGAAACCUGUCCUAGCAGUUUUAACCUGGCGGCCACGAUGACAAUAGUGCCUAGAUACAUCAUCUGAGUCAACUCAGCACACAUGGCUGUAAUGUCUCUCCCUCACUCACACAAGGACACUGAGUCCAGAGAUAUCUGGCAAGGGUGGCCUUGCUCUCUGCGUUUAGGGCUGUGUGGGACAAAUGUGAUCCCAGAAUUCUGGCAAGGAUUCUGCCUCCUUAAACAGGGGUUAUGAGAAUGAAAGGACUUCAUAUGCUUUGAUUCGUUCUGAGACUAAGGAAGAAGAAUAUAGACUGCUAAUGUAAUUUAUGGACAGAAGCACUCUGAAUUUAAAUGAAGCAACCAAUGGGCCCUUUGAUUGGCAUUUAUAUCUCCUUUUAUAGAGAUCACAUAGAGUAGUGUUAUAAUUCUUGACAGUUUUGAUUGCAAAAUAUAUAGGACUUUAAGCUCCCUGGAAGAAAGAAGAGAUGAUUAAUAUUAAUAAUUAAAUACUAAACAUACAACAGAUAUGAAUAAUGUGCUUUAUAUUUAUAUAGCUAUUGUUUUACCUUGUUGAAAAGCACUAUAUGCUUAAUUGUUAGGACUGCCACAAUAAGACGCUAUGUUAUCUAAACCACAUAAAAGAAGGCAUUCAACCUAAUCCCUAAAUCCUAUUAAUUUCUUUGCUCACAUUACAGAACAAAAACUGCCACCUUUUGACUUUACUAUUCAAACUGUUUUCAAAGCAAUGUGACUGAUUAAAGACAUAGAUUAAAAUUCAAAUAACCUGGUUAAAAUGUUUAGACACAAAGCCAUUGGGAGUGUCAAGAAAGAAUGUGGAGAUUUAAAAUAAAGACAUAAUAAAAAUAAAUGAGAAAACAGGCAAAUAAAAGUAUGGUUAUAGCAAAGGUGCGAGCAUGCUUCUUUGUGCUUGUGUGUGUGUGUGUGUGUGUGUGUGUGUGUGUGUGUGUGUGUGUGUUGUCACAGGAUGCUGAGCGAAGCAUCUCUAGGCUGUCAGCAAAAAUACAGCUCUAAUAAGAGUGUGUAUUGUUAUGGGGGAAACUAUUUCAAGAGAAAAUGUACAUAUCUUAGAUUAUAUCUAGCACUUGGAAAAUUGCAAAAUGUUUUAUCACCUCCAUUUCCUACCCCUUCCCUUCCCAGAGCCAUAAUCACGGCCAGGAGGAAUAAGGCAGAAAAAGACAACAAGAAUGAACAAGCACUUUCUUCAACUCAACUUAAGUUUAGUCUUUACAUCAAACUGGAACAAAUUGAUAAGUAUAGUAAAAAGCUUCAAAAGCUAUUUGAAAUAUUUCAAAUAAAAACAUAAUGGUCACAUGGUUAAAAAUUAGUGAAACAUGAAUGAAUAUUUUGAAGCACGAAGAAAAUGUGACCCCAAAAGGUAUAAGUUUAUACAUUGGAAAAUAUUUGUAAGUGUUUGAGGUAGGACUGAAUUUGAAUUGGUUGUAUUUUAAAAAGCAAAAAGAAGGUAAAAUAUAAGCUGCUAUGUAGCUUAUAUCACUGUGGCCAUUCUUCUUAGAAGAACACACCUGUCCCAUUUUCUAAGAUGUAGCGAAGGAAUUGACUUGAUUUUGUACUUAGCGUCUUUGUGUUCUCAUGUUUCAGCUCUAGGAUUCUGAAGACAGAGAAAGAGACAACCUCUCCCCUUCUAGUCCCUUGAAGUUUGUGGUGGCUCUUGUAGUGUAAGCCUCUGAUGUUGUGUAUGGUAUCUUUUGUGGAUGUACCUAUUAACCCCCGCUUUGUAAAUAAGCUAUCCCUAAUCCUAGCAAUCUGGAGGCAGAGACAGGCAGACCUCUGUUAGCCUGAGGUCAGUCUAGUGUACACAGUGGGCUCUAGAACAGCUAGUGAAACAAGACCUUGCCUUCAAAAUAGAUAGAAGGUAGAUAGAUAGAUAGAUAGAUAGAUAGAUAGAUAGAUAGAUAGAUAGAUAGAUAGGCAGGCAGACAGACAGACAGAUAAAUGGAUAGACAGGCAAAAUGAAAUAAAAUAAGUAAGCUACCCCCAAAAUUUAACAGCUUAAACCAAUAGUAAGUUACUCAUUCAGAAUUAUGUAUGUUUCCAUUAAGGAUGGUAAGCCAAGACCUCUGGAGUUGUUCUUGCCUAACCCUCCUGUGUGCUGCACGAAACCUGGCAGCUGUGCUCCGGUUGGGUGCACUGGUAUGACCUCACACAGGUUUGGCAGGCUAAAGGCAAACGUGCUUUGGCUUUUGUGGGCUUCUUUUCUCCAGAAGGCUCGUCUGAAUUCUGUUAACUGAUUAUUUGGAACCUCUAAGUGUGCAGAAAAGGGUAAGAGUCAACAUGCAAACUCUUGGCAAGCUUUUCCUUGAAUGUCAUUUACUGAUGUCCUACUCACUGGCUAAAGCAAUACAUAUAUCCAAGCUGAGAUUCAAGGGAUGGGGAAAGGGAAAUUCAUUACAGGCAGGACUUGCAAAAAAAUAUCAUGACUUCUUUCCCUUUUCAUCCUACCACAAGUUCACCUUUACUGUUGGGUGGGGAAGGGAGGGACCACCUUUUCCUUACAUACAUGGCAGUAGUUAAAGGAACAGAACUGCAGCUGCAACUUUUAUAAAAACAUCCUUUGUUCUAUUAGGAGGUCAACUCUGAGUCUGUGUGAUGAUGUGCUUUGAGAAAGAGAGAUUCAUCUCUCCAGCUGAUGUGCAGAAGUGAGAAGCCACAUGCUCUAAGAGAUAUAGAGAAACUAAGUGGCUCAAAAUUGUGGCUGUGAAAGCCUGUGCAUGUGUGGUGAUGAUGUAUAAGAUCAACUCUCUUGUUGCCUCCACUUUCUAGUUUUCUAUUUCUUUGGGCAAAAGUAAAAAAUUGAAUAAUUAUGAAUAGGCUUUUGUAAGUCAGUUGUGAAGUAAAAUGGUUCACUUAGUUUUUCUUUAUUAAUUUGUGUAACCAUCUGAAGGCAUUCUUACCUCAUGCAGUGCCUUCUGUUGUUUCUGACACACCCUUCUGUGAUUGUGACAGCAGCACAGAUGUCCUUAUGCCCCUAUAUCCUCGGCUUUCAUGUGGCACUUUUUUUCCUGCAGGGCUCCUAGCAUUGCCACUGAUUUUGGAACUGCCCUUUGAAGAGCCUGGAUACUUAAGCGCUGAUGCAGACUCUGUCUCAAAGCAGUGAUGAAAGUGAAGGUUCCAAUGUCGCUACACCUGUAGGUGCCUCCAGAAGUCACCCAGCCUUAUAAGGAUUCCCGCAAUAACCACCUUUCUGACACAAUAGUUUGCUUUGGGUUUUGUUGUUGUUUUGUUUUGGUUGAUUUUUGCUUUGGUUGGUUUUUUGUUUGUUUCAUUUUGUUUAUCUCACUCAAUAAUUUUAAUGACCCUAGCUCUGGAUCCUUCAUAUCAACUCUAUCAGUUACCCAAGGCACAAAAUAUACAGUAACAAAUAACCCAUAAUCUCCUAAUUCUGUCAACUGGUGCCUAUUGUUCACAUGUACCUGUGGCAAGCUGUUGUUAGUCAGGAGACUUCAUCAUUUCGACUAUAUUCUUUGACAUAUCUAGGUGACACAGCUUCAUGCCCCAUCUUUGAUAAAGAAGGUGACCUAGAUUUGAGAGAGAGAAAUAGAGAGAGCAGGAAUCAUUCAUGGUUUCUUAAGGCCCAUGCUUAAGAAAAAGUACAUUAUUUUUAAAGAUGUAUUUAUGUAUCUGAAUGCUCUGUCUGUAUGUGCACACAAAUGCCAGUAGAGGGCAUCAGAUCCUAUUGCAGAUGGUUGUGAGCCACCAUGUGGUUGCUGGGAAUUGAACCCAGGACCUCUGAAAGACGAGUCAAUGCUCUUAACCGCUGAGCUAUCUCUCCAGCUCCCCACAAUUUGUCAGACAAAUUCAGAUUCCAAGGAUGGGAAAUAGGCUUUAUCUCUUCAUGAGGAUAACUGGAAAGUGUCAUCACAAAGUGUGUGUGUGUGUGUGUGUGUGUCUAUGCUAGUAAGGACAGGACAGGUGAUUGGAGCUCUCUGCACAACUGCUCUAAGAACCACACACUAAAGAACUCUGAAUCCUGGAGCAAGAACAAGUGUGCAGCCCAGACCAUUCCAGAUGCACUUUUGAGAGAUUAAUUUGGAGCUUUUUCUAAAAAGGUAGAAGAUGAAUUGACUUGAGUGGGAAUAUCAGGGGUUGGUGUAACCAUGGAUGUGGCCCUUGUUUUAAUGCAUGUAAUAUAUCACGAGGGCACAAGACAGGGAUAGAAAAUAGGCUGCACACUGUGUGAUCGAUUUGUAGUAAAUGCCUGCAGUGAGGUGCUGGAGAGAGUUAUGUGGCCACAUUUCUGGGUGAGCUGAGCCCAGAACCUAGAUAGAUUGACCAUGUCCACUAUGGGCACUGGAGGGAGAAGUGAUGGCACCGUGACUGUAUAGACUGCCAUCUCUGUUCCAGCAAGAGCAGUAGCCAUGAGGUCAGAGUCCUCUAGAAGCAAUUAAUAGGUACAAUUAGAAAGCCUUGCUGAAGGGAGGCUGUAAAUCUCAGAAAAUCUGAACUUUGGAUUUGGUUUGUCAGUGAAUUGUUAAUGUCAUUUCUUAGAUCAUCUAUUUAGAGCAUGGGCUUGAGUAUUUUAUAGAUCUUUGUAAUUUUUGUUAGCAAGAUACAUAAUUUUCUAUUACUUUUUAAUAUAUAAAAAGACACACCAAAGCAUAGAAGCUUUUUCUAUGCUUUUUUCUAAUUCAUUAAGUUGAGAAUUUGACCUUGUCUUCGUAAGUACUUUAUAUCUCCUCUUCAGCAUAUCUGGAUUUACAGUUCUGCUUUGGAGCCACUAGUAAGCAAAAUAAGUUAACCUCAACGUGAAGCACUGUAAUGCCCACAAUCCUCUGUCUUAAAUCCUACAUGUCUACCCAGUGCCUAACAGCCAGGCAGUACAUGCGAUUGGGCUAUACUGGACAAGGGGAUUGAUAGCAUCGUGAUGGAUGAUAUGAGAUUGAACCAUGACACUUAGAAUGCUGAGAUACUUAAAACUUCUGAGUUGAUUGUUUCUGGAAUUUUCCAUUUAUUAUCUGCACACUAUGGUUAAUAGCAGAUCAAUGCAUCCUUGUGGACAAGGAGUGAUCGCCAUAUUCUGGAUAUUUCUGUGAGGCCAUUGGAUGAGAUCAGCAUUAAAAUGGACCAUUGGAGGAAAGAAGAUGAUAUUUCUCAAUGUGAAUGCCUUUCAUCCAUUCAGAUCUGAACAGCACAAAAAGAUCAACUACCCAAAUAAGAGGGAAUCACACUAGGCCAAUAGUCUUUAGGCUGGGAUAGUUGUUUUAAUCUUCCUUCAACUUCAGAUUGAAACCUUAGCUCCUCCUGGGUUUCCAGUGUUUAUGCUAUAAUUGCACUCCUAAUUUUCCUGGUUCUUAGAACCAGGAACACUCAUAAUUUAGAAACACUCAUAACUCACAAGAACAGAUUAAAAUCUAGUCAGGUAAAGGCAGCAGGACUGAGUGUGUCUUAGGUAGAGGCCAGAAACUCUAACAGUGCAUGUUGGUUUUGAAAGACCCCCGAAGGGAGCCCCCCACUCAAGUCUCGGGAAAGACGCGCACCCAGUAGGACACAGACACCGACCUGCUGUAAUCACACGAGGAAGAUUUAUUGUGAGCGAGAUGAAACGAGAGCUCAGGCCAGCAUGCUGGGGUCGAGACUCAUACACCACACAGGGAGUAGAGGAGUUCGACCCCGACCUGAAUUUUCACAGAGCUUAUAAAGGAAAAAACCACAAACCAGGGGGAUCAAGAGGGAGGGAGGAGGGGAAUUCCAAAACCAUAAACUGCCCAUACAAUUUAGGACUUUGUGACAUUGUGAUUAGGGGUAGUGACAUUUUACAGGGCCAUUGGACCAUUGUGGCCGGAGGCUAUGGGUCAUUGUGGCUGUUCCAGGAAACCUUUCAUGCAAGAAUGUUCCGGGAACCAUUGUACAGCAAGGGAGGGGCGAAAAGUUCAUGUUCUCACAGACCCUACCUCUUCUUUUUGGGUAGCUAGGCGGCUUAUUAUUAAUUUUUAAUCCUUCAUUCCCCACUUCUUCUUUUUUUGUUAAUAGUUCUAAUCCUAGAACUUCAUGGAGAACUCAGCUUCAUCUAGCAUAACAGCUUGGUAUUGUAGUCUUAACAUGAGGAUUCUAACCUGGACACUAUCCAAGCCUAUCCACCAAGGUCAUGACUAGCUUUUAGAACUUCUAAGCUUAUACGGACUGUGAUCCCUGAGGCACAGUCCCAAGAAGUGUUAAGAGUACUAACAUAUGCAAUGUUACAUCAUUUGUAAUGGAAAUCAAGCCUAUCCCACACCUAUCUUGAUAGAACCCAGGACAAACAUGACUGAGUUUCCCUCUAGCUCUCAGCCCCAACAGCUAGUACAUGGCUGGUGAGGGCUGAGAAUUGACAGCUGUCAGGGUGGUCAGCAGCACCAGGUACGGUCCUUUCCAGCGAGGCUCGAGUGUCUGGACUCAGUGUAGCUGCAACCUGGAACUGAUGGGAUGUCUCAGGGGUCUCCGGGGCAUAGGCUGCUGUCAGCUGUGAGCAGAUUUCUUUCUGUAUCACCUGUAGGUCUUUUAGCCUGGCACACAAAUCAUUAUUACUAUGGCACUAUGACAUGUUGGUUCAGUAACAUCAUCUAAUACAGUCAGGGGGGCUGAGGCCCCAUAUAAGAUCUCAAAGGGGGUAAGGCUGAAUCUGGAAGGGGUAUUUCUUGCUCUGAAGAGAGCAAGAGGGAAGGAGUGUCACCCAGUCUGUGCCAGUCUCCAUGGUUAAUUUGGUCAGGGUCUCUUUUAGAGUUCUAUUUAUUUACCCUACCUGUCCUGAACUUUGAGGUCUGUAAAUACAAUGUAAUUUCCAAUCGACCUCUAAAUACUUGGCCACACCCUGGCUUACCUUGGCAACGAAAGUAGGGCCAUUGUCUGACCAGAUUACCUUGGGCAUUCCAAAUCGGAGGAAGAUUUCUUCCAGUAUCUUCUUGAUGAUUGCAGAGGCCGUCUCUUGUUUGGUGAGGAAAGCUUCUAUCUAUUCCUGAAAAAGUAUCUACAAGCACUAGGAGAUACUUGUGAUUAUAUUUUUCUGGUUUUAUCUCAGUGAAGUUCACUUCGACUUUUCACCAAACUCUCUAGGUCUCUUUGCCCUGUUUGCUUGCUAAGCAUUCACUUAUUGACAUACCUUAUACUUUCUACUGCCUCUCUGGCUAAAAUCUUAAAGUCUAUUACAUACACUUAACUACUUGGACAAACUUUUUAUCUCCUAAAUGAGUCCAUUUCUGUAUUUGGCAAAGUGAGUCUUUUCUUUGUUCUCUGGGGAGUAUAGCUUUCCCCUCAAGUGUGCCAUUGUCCUUUAUCUUUUAAGCAAUUUGGGCCUUUUCUAAGUGAGGCCAUCCCUUAGUCCAAUCCUAGUUCUCAGUGGCUGUCUCUUGCAGACCUGCAACCAGGAUGGGCUCCUGCAUAACCAUUUUUCGAGCCACUUGAUCUGCUUCGUUAUUGCCCCAUGUCACUGAAUCUCUUCCCUCCUGAUAUCCUGAGCAAUGAAUAGUACUCACAGUUGUUGGCUUCAUCAGGGCAUCCAAGAGAUGGCAAAGGCAUCUGCGGCACUGAUGUACUGGGGGGGGUAGAGGUUCAGCCAUCCCAGAUGACAUUGUAUUGUCCACCAUGGCAGCACCCACUUGUCUCUGACCUUCAUUCAUGAAGAGAACUGUUCCCGUCUGUGGACAAGGUCCUCGGCUUUCAGCAGGGGUCAAUCAGCCAGUCGCAGAGGUCUUUCCUCCACCCAUGGGCUUCUGCCAGUACUUGACACUCGUGCUGUGGUGGCUCCAGGUCCGGAUUGGGCAGCAAGGUGACCAGAUUGUCCCCAACCGGUGGAGAAUCUAGUCCAUGGCAGCUGACCAGUGGUCCCAUCUUUUGGGACACUCUAUUCAAAGGCAGAACAUCAGCCACUCUAUCACAGUUUAAGUCCUGGAUUGGGUGAUAAUUGUUAGUGCCCGGCUGGCAGGAGUGAUAUGUUCCAAGUAGAACAGCGCUAAGCCAUUCGUCUCCCAGCAUCAGGUACUGGUGCACUGAGACAGGUCUUAAGCUCCGCAUACACAGUCUGUAGAUAUGCAUACACAUGGCCUCACCCAGCCAUUUCAGCCCACGCAAGCCAUUUUGGGGAGCAAUUUUCUCAUGAGCAAGGGAUGGGGGCAGUCAGGGAUGACUAUGAACUAGUGGGUUACCCGGCCCACGCCAAGGUCCACUGUUCUUCGGGCAGUCCAUAAGUAUUGUUUGUUGCCAGUAGGCCCCUGUACCCAAGGUCUUUGGAUAUUGGCCCACUGGAGGGGGGCAUAGGAGCACAGAGCAUUGGGUCCCUGCAUCCACACUUCCCUUCUAUCUCUGUACAUAGCCAGCACUCUAGGACCAAGAGGCUCUCCAGUGUCCCCUCUUGUUCUUUCUGGGGCAGUCCCUGACCCAGUGUCUUUUUUUUUUUUUCUUUGCAUUAGGCACACUGAUCUUUAGCCAGGAAUUCUCUUCUGUUGCCAGGUACUGUCUUCCUAGGUUCCCUAACUACUGUGGCCAGUAUAUGUUCCUCUCUUGUCUUUUAUCUCUCUUUAGCUCUCUAAUUUCCUCUUCUUUUAGUCUCUUUUCUUCCCUAGCUUCCUGCUCUUUUUACCUUCUUUCUUUCUUUCUUUCUUUUUUUUUUCUGUCUCUCUGCAUCUUCUUCUACAGCUAUUAGGUGCUGUCCACUUUUCUGCACAGACCCUGAACCAUGCAUCAACUUACAAUAACUCUCUCAGCGACUUAGCUUAACCCUUCAAGUUUCUGUAACUUUCUCUUCAUAUCUUUUCCUUAUCUUAGCCAGAUUGGUGGGGCAUUUUCCAGCCCCUAGGAGACCCACCCUUGGAGCCUGGGGGCAGACCUGGAGCACUCCCUACCUUCAGGGGUAUGAAGAGAGCAGGCAGAAGUGAGGGCCUUCUAUGCGUGUUGGAACCCUUUUUUUUUUUUUUUUCUGGCCUCUAGUAGGAUUCCGUCUUUCCUCAGUGGUAAAGAAGACCUGUAACAGUUACUAACAAGCAUAUCAAAUGGGAUGGUGAGAAAACAAGAGAAUCUUGAGAAUAGAGUCUACCGAAGAGGGCAAACAGCAUUUAGUCACACAGCUAAACCAGGAGGCCUUUCUUGGAGCAAAAAGGCCAUUGUCAGUGUCAGCUCCAUGGCUUUGCCUCUCAAGAGAACCAGCCUCCAAAUGACACUAGGCUUCUAGUAACAACUAAUAACAAAAGGAUGGAGAGAUGGUUAGAACCUAGGUGCUAGAUGCCAGGGGGCUGAUAAAAGAAUUGUAACCAGUUCACCUGGGGCUAUCAGGACCUCAGUAGUAGCCCUUUACCAAACUGUCUCACUGGGUUUAAAGGGGCCAAGGAAAAGAAAACAUUAAUCCUGACCUUGGCUACCGCCAAGUAAUUUAGUGCUGGAGACUGACUCCUCCCUUGGAAUAAAGACAGCAGAUAAGGCAGGCUUCCUUAAAGAACUUCUCUAAAUAAGUGCUCUCCUACUGUGAGCAAAUGUCAGAAAUUCCUUUCCUAUUCUUGUUUUCCUAAUAGCCCCACCUAGCUCUCAGCCUUUUUAGAUUAUUCUUCCUGUAGCAUUUCUAACACAGCCUGUCCCUUUUUUUUUUUUUUUUUUUUUUAGCCUGUUAACAGCAUUUUUGAUCUUUUAGGCAGUUAUGCACUAAGUGUCAUACCGGCUGAAACUCCGCCUUUAAGAUUCUUUGCUCCCAAGCAAAAUUUAAAUCUUUCCCAGUUCAUCACAGCUGGCUGCGAGCAUAAGCACAGAUAAAACACUAUGUUUUAAAAAUUAACUUUGGCUAUCAACCAACACACUGCCACUAGAGCGGGGUCCAUAAGAUUAAGUUUCUUACUAAGCAUUAAGGGGACCAAGUAAAACUCUUCAACGAACAAAGCAAACAGUUUCAUGAUUUCAAACACAGUCGUCAGUCCAAGAUUUUAAACACG